GAUGAACGCUGGCGGCGUGCCUAAUACAUGCAAGUCGAGCGAACAGACGAGGAGCUUGCUCCUCUGACGUUAGCGGCGGACGGGUGAGUAACACGUGGAUAACCUACCUAUAAUACUGGGAUAACUUCGGGAAACCGGAGCUAAUACCGGAUAACAUGUUGAACCGCAUGGUUCAACAGUGAAAGACGGUCUUGCUGUCACAUAUAGAUGGAUCCGCGCCGCAUUAGCUAGUUGGUAAGGUAACGGCUUACCAAGGCAACGAAGCGUAGCCGACCUGAGAGGGUGAUCGGCCACACUGGAACUGAGACACGGUCCAGACUCCUACGGGAGGCAGCAGUAGGGAAUCUUCCGCAAUGGGCGAAAGCCUGACGGAGCAACGCCGCGUGAGUGAAGAAGGUCUUCGGAUCGUAAAACUCUGUUAUUAGGGAAGAACAAAUGUGUAAGUAACUAUGCACGUCUUGACGGUACCUAAUCAGAAAGCCACGGCUAACUACGUG
rnacentral:rRNA from 1 species